rnacentral:sRNA from 1 species
UAGCUACGUACGUUUUAUUAGCAGGGC